CCUACGGGUGGCUGCAGUGAGGGAUAUUGGUCAAUGGGCGCGAGCCUGAACCAGCCAAGUCGCGUGAAGGAUGACUGCCCUACGUGUUGUAAACUUCUUUUAUAGGGGAGUAAAGUGAGGCACGUGUCCCAUUUUCUCUGUCUUUUAUGAAUAAGGCUCGGCUAACUACGUGCAAGCAGCCGCGGUAAUCCGGAGGGUCCGAGCGUUAUCCGGUUUUAUUGGGUUUAAAGGGACUGUAGAUGGGUUGUUAAGUCAGUCGUGAAAGUUUGCGGCUCAACCGUAAAAUUGCAAUUGAUACUGGCAGACUUGAGUACAGUUGAGGUAGGCGGAAUUCGUGGUGUAGCGGUGAAAUGCUUAGAUAUCACGAAGAACUCCGACUGCGAAGGCAGCCUACUAAACUGCCACUGACAUUGAGGCUCGAAAGUGUGGGGAGCAAACAGGAUUAGAUACCCUUGUAGUC
rnacentral:rRNA from 1 species